UGCNGUCGAACGGUAGCACAGAGAGCUUGCUCUCGGGUGACGAGUGGCGGACGGGUGAGUAAUGUCUGGGAAACUGCCUGAUGGAGGGGGAUAACUACUGGAAACGGUAGCUAAUACCGCAUAACGUCGCAAGACCAAAGAGGGGGACCUUCGGGCCUCUUGCCAUCAGAUGUGCCCAGAUGGGAUUAGCUAGUAGGUGGGGUAAUGGCUCACCUAGGCGACGAUCCCUAGCUGGUCUGAGAGGAUGACCAGCCACACUGGAACUGAGACACGGUCCAGACUCCUACGGGAGGCAGCAGUGGGGAAUAUUGCACAAUGGGCGCAAGCCUGAUGCAGCCAUGCCGCGUGUAUGAAGAAGGCCUUCGGGUUGUAAAGUACUUUCAGCGAGGAGGAAGGUGUUGCGGUUAAUAACCGCAGCAAUUGACGUUACCCGCAGAAGANGCNNCGGCUAACUCCGUGCCAGCAGCCGCGGUAAUACGGAGGGUGCAAGCGUUAAUCGGAAUUACUGGGCGUAAAGCGCACGCAGGCGGUCUGUCAAGUCGGAUGUGAAAUCCCCGGGCUCAACCUGGGAACUGCAUUCGAAACUGGCAGGCUAGAGUCUUGUAGAGGGGGGUAGAAUUCCAGGUGUANCGGUGAAAUGCGUAGAGAUCUGGAGGANUACCGGUGGCGAANGCGGCCCCCUGGACAAAGACUGACGCUCAGGUGCGAAAGCGUGGGGAGCAAACAGGANUAGAUACCCUGGUAGUCCACGCCGUAAACNAUGUCNACUUGGANNUUGUUCCCUUGAGNAGUNGCUUC
rnacentral:rRNA from 1 species